UUUUCCUGCCGUGUAAUAGCUUUUGGAAACUGAGUCCUUUCACAUUAUUUCCCCGGAGAAAACAAUCCUUCGGCAUUUUUCCCCUUUUGUUUUUUGUGUUUUUUCUCUCUUUCCUUCCCGCGGGGCAUCAGGAGUCAGACGGGAAGUUGUGUGUGUGUGUGGCACUCAGUAACCGUCCCCGUGAACCCCCAACUCCUCACCCCCCCCUGACUCAACCUUCAGACGCCGGUUCGAACCUCUUCCAUCAUCCUGAAUAAACACCCCAAAUUUUAGCCUCACCUUCCCCCGAUUCAAACCACCAUCUCCGUUUUGAACCACUCAUUCCCCGUUUCGAUCCACCACCCUCCGAUUCGAACCUUCUCUCCCGUUUUCAAGUCAGUUUUUGAAGCUUCGAAAUACCCCAAACCUGAUCAUAAACCCCGCUUCAUUUUUGUGCGGUAAAAAUAAUCGGCCUCGUGAAGCUUUCCCCCGAUUCGAAGCUAGUUUAUGAAGCUUCGAAACACCCAAAACCAGAAGAUGAAGCCUAAUUUGAAUUCUAUAUAACCCUAACUCAACUCCGUUUCAGUGAUCAGCCCCCAUGAACCUCUACCCCGUUUCGAACCGACUUUCUGAAGCUUCGAAGUACCCAAAAUUUGAAGCUUCAGAACCCUAUUGAACCCCCAGCCAAUCCUGCUUCACGUUACGCUUCACUUCAGCCUCGCCUCCGGGUUCUAUACUCUUCGGGGGCCCUUGAGCUGCCUCCUUCGCUAAAGAAAAAAAAAAAAGGCAAAGGAAAAAGGGGAAAAAAUAGUGGCCCCGUUGCUGCAGGUAUAAAUGUUGAUGAUUUGUUUGUGGCUCAGCGUCGAGAACAGAUUUUAUUUUUUCUGCUCUCUUAUUUUUCUCCCUCCCUCUCGGCUUUCGUAACCAACCACUCAUCCUUCUUUUUCUCGUUGAUUUUUCGUUCCCAUUUCCCUUUCUUGUUUUUUUUAUUUCUCUUCUUCCUCCUUCUGCUCCUCUCUGUUUAUCUAUCUAUCUAUCUACCUCUUUAUGUCUCUUUUUAUUUAUCCUUUUCUGUUUAUUCACCGUAACCAACCGCUCAUCCUUCUUUUUCUUGUUGAUUUUUCGUUCCCAUUUUCCUUUCUUGUUCUUUUUAUUUCUCUUCUUCCUUCUUUACCCUGCUCCUCUCUGUUUAUCUAUCUAUCUACCUCUUUAUCUGUCUCUAUUUUUGUUUAUCCUUCUCUGUUUAUUCACUGUCUUCUCUUACCUUCUCCUUCAUCAUCUUCCCCUUUCCCUUCCUCCUGUUGUUCCUUCCCUCUUCUUAAUUAUCUUUCCUUCCUCCUCCAAUUCCUGCUUCUGACUCCUGCUAAUGCAACUGUUCCUCCUCCUCCUCUUCCUACUACUACUACCAUCACCACCACCACCACCACCACUACUACUACUACUACUACUACUACUAGGCAAUCUUCGUAAUACAAUAUCAACUUCCUUUCCUCAACAAAAUCUGGCUAACAUCAAGGACAUUUUUCUCUCCUCCUCUUCCUCCUUCUCCUCCUCCCGCCGGUGCCGCCACGGAAGGUCAAACACGAGCAAGUCUUCCCGCCCGUCUGACCAAGUUUCCCGUUCUCCUUUGUUCCUCCCGUCGCCUCGAGGCCCCGAACGCAUCCUUCCCGCAGACACUCCGCGGGGAGGGAGACAUGACAGGCCUGCAGGAGAGCCAGGGAAGGGCGGAACGAAGGAAGCAAGGAAGGAAGCAGGAGAAGAAACAGCAGGAACAGGAGAAGGAGCAGGAGGAGGAGGAGGAGGAAAAUGAGGACAGGAGAAGCAAAAAAAGCAGAAAGCACUUGGCCACAACAGUCAGGCGCCUUCAGGGACACGAAACUUUGCUGCAUGAGCCACAACGCCCCCCUUGCCCCCCCCCCUGCCGCCCCUCCCUGACCAGAAGCACGGGAGGUAAGGACGGAAGGACAGGGGGGUGGGGGGCAUCAGGGCGUGUAGGACAUGAGGAAAAAGAGCGAAAGUGACAAGGAUCGAAGGAUACUAAGUCUGAGAAAGCAGAGACGAUGCCGAAGAAGGAGGAGGAGGAGGAGGAGGAGGAGGAGGAGGAGGAGGUGUGGUAAGAGUGGCAAGGAGGGUAAGCAAAGGAUAUAAAUAAGAAAAGAAGGAGGAAAAAUCUAAAAGAAGGAAGAGGAGGAAGAGAAGGAGGUGUGGUAAGGAGGUUAGAAGAGGAACACCAAGAAGAAGAGGAGGAAAAGGCAAAAGGUGGAAGAAAAGGAAGAGUCUGAAAAGGUUGAGGUUAUAAAAGAGGGUGCAAGAGGAAGAGAAGGAAGAGGAGAAAAAGAGGAGGAAGAGGAGGUGUGGUAAGGAUGUUAGAAGAGGAACACCAAGAAGAAGAAGAGGAGGAAAAGGCAAAAGGUGGAAGAAAAGGAAGAGUCUGAAAAGGUUGAGGUUCUAAAAGAGGGUGUAAGAGGAAGAGGAGGAAGAGGAGAAAAAGAGGAGGAAGAGGAGGUGUGGUAAGGAGGUUAGGAGAGGAACACCAAGAAGAGGAGGAGAAAAAGGCAAAAGGUGGUAGAAAAGGAAGAGUCUGAAAAGGUUGAGGUUCUAAAAGAGGGUGCAAGAGGAAGAGGAGGAAGAGGAGAAGAUAAAGAGGAGAAAGAGAUAUGGUAAGAGUGGAGAGGAGGGUAGGAAAGGAUAUCAAAAAGAAGAGGAAGAAAAGGCAAAAAAUGGGAGAAAAAGAAGAGUCUGAAAGGGUUGAGGUUGUGAAAUAAGGAGUAAGAGGAAGAGGAGAAAGAGAGGAGAAAGAGGAGAGACUGGACGUGGUGAAAACAGGGUAUAGGCGACAGGGGACAGAAAUUACAGGGUCAUAGAACGCUUAAAACAAGACCCCAAAUUAGAACGACUUUAAGAGGAAAAAAAGAGAAGAGAGAAAAAUGGAAUACAGGGUUAGGGAAAAGGGUAGAAGCAGGGAAGUAAAAAAAGAAAAAAAUAAGAUAACAAGGAUUUUAAGCAGAGAAACAACACUAGCGAGAAAAUAGCAGAGAGGGAGAGAAAAAAAGAAAAAAAGAGAAGACAGGGUUAGAGAAAAGGAUAAAAGCAGGUAGGUAAAAAAAGAAAGGAUAACAAGGAUUUUAAGCAGAGAAACACCACACCACCAGCAGGGAAAUAGCAGAGAAGGAGAUAAAAAAAGAAAAAGAAAAGAAAAAAAGAAUGCUGGGUCAGAGAAAGAGUUAAAAGCAGGGAGGUAAGAGAAAACAGAAAAGAUGCAAGGAUUUUAAGCAGAGAAACACCACACCACCAGCAGCAGGGAAAGAGCAGUGAGCAGAAAGACAGGAAGGAAGGGUUGAACCAGAACAAAAAAAAUAUAUACAAGAGGAAGGAAAGAAUGUAGGAGGCAAGAAAAGUUAAAAGACAAGGACGGAAGGAAGGAAGGAAGUAACAAGGGAACCAAAAAUGCAAGGUGUGACAGGGGAAGGAGACGGAAAAGGCAGCGUGACAGGGAGGGAGGGAGAGGAAGGAAGGGAAAAAAAAGAGGGAGGGGAAACUUGAGGGAGGCAAAAAAGUGAAAUGGGAGGGAAGGAAGACGGUAAGUGACAGGGAGCUAAGAAUACGGAAUAAGAAAGAGGAAGAGGAGGAAGAAGAAGAGGAGGAGGAAGAGGAGACGUGACAGCAGGAGGUUGAUAGGCACUAAGAAGGACAAAUCUGGCAGGGGAGGAAGAGGAAGAGGAAGAAGAAGGGAGAAGAGAGAGAGAAAGAGAUAAAUAGAUGAACAUAUAGGAAAAGAAACAGAGAAAAGAAAGGUGACAACAGAGGAAGAGGAAGAAGAAGGGAGAGGAGAGAAAGAAAGAGAGACACAGCAACAAAGACAGACAAAGAAAAUGAGACAAAGAUAAGAAAGAAGAAAAGGAAUAAAACGACAACCAAAAGAGAGGAAAGUGAAGGAAUAGGAAAAAGAGCAAGAAAUAGAAAAAUACAGAAACAAAGAAGGACAUACAGAAAGAGAGACAGGGAGAACAAAGAAGGAAACAAGAGAGGAGUGACGAAAUAAGAAAAAAAGAGCAGGAGGAGAAGAAGAAGAAGAAGGAGGAGGAGGAGGAGGAGGAGGAAGUCUAACAAGUAGGUAAGGAAAAGGAGUCACCGAGGUAAAGAGGGGAGAGAGGAGACUAGGGGGAGAGGGGAGGGGUAAGGGGGAAGGUUACAUGAGGCGAGGGGCAACUUCCCAUUAACGCUGCCAAGGUCCAGGUCACGAGUCAUUCAUUAACCUGUAAACCCGUAAUUAGCAGUAGUCAGGGGAGGUUACCUGGCGGAGGCGAGAAGGAGGCUGAGAGGAGGAGGAGGGAGGAGGUGGAGAGGGGAGGAGAAGAAGGAGGUAAGGAAGGGCUUGGUGAGGGAAAGAGGGGUAAGUGGAGGAGUGUUUGAGAAGGGUGGAGAGAAGAAGAAAAAUAAGGUUAAAUGGAAGGAAAGGUGGAAGAGGUUUUACAGGAAGAAAGAGAAGAAUGGAGAGAGGGAUGGUAAGGGAAGGGAAUGGAAGGGAGUUGAAGGGAAGAAGGAAGGUGAAGGGAGGAUAUAAGUGUGAAAGAAGGGAGGGUGAAGCAGAGAGAGAGAUAGAGACAGGAGGCAGGUUAGAGUAUGAAAAAGGGUGUGAGAAAGGGAGAAGAGGAAUAGAAGAAAAAAAAAGGUGAUAGACGUCGAAAAAAAGGGAGGAUAAAGAAAAGACUGUCUAAAAAGGGAGGAAGGGAGAAAGAAAGAACGGGGAGGAAGGAGAAAGGGGAAGGGAGAGAGUGGAAGGUAAAGAAGGAGUAAAGAAGAAAAAAGGGUGAUAAAGGUCGAAAAAAAGGGAGGAUAAAGAGAAGAAAACUGUCUAAAAAGGGAGAAAGGGAGAAAAAAGGAACAGGGAGGAGAAGAAAGGGGAAGGGAGGGAGUCGAAGGUCGCUGGAAGGAGGUGGAGGGAGACACAGGGAGGAGAAGGAAGGAGAGAGGGAGAGAAAAUAGGGUGAGAAGAUGUGGUUAGUCUGUGGUAAGGAUGAUAAUGAUGAUGAUGAUAACGAGGAGGAGGAGGAAGGAAACGAGAAAGAGAAAGAGAAGGAGGAGGAGGA